UUUUGCUGCCAGCCCUAGGACUUUGAACUUCAGGGUCUGGGUGCUGUCCCUGGGCUUUUUUGCCCAAGGCUAGCGCUCUACCACUUGAGCCACAGCACCACUUCCGGCU